CUGCAUAGGGUGUGACUAUCAGGAACCAUGGCUCACUGGAGCACCAUCUUUGGAGUCUAGCUAACACAGCAUCUUGGAUGCACUCCUAAGAGAAGACUACCUGAAAGGCGUGUACACUGGUCUAGCAGUUGAGAUCAGCUAGUGUUCCAUCUAUCUUCUGUCAUGUAUCUCUUCUAAGAUGUCUUGAUCGACUGACCCCAAAGCCAGAGGGUACCAGGUCAAAAAGCAAGAAAACAAACAAUACUGACAUUAGAGAGAAGCAAAGUUUCUAUAGAAAACCUAUUACACUGUGGUAUAAAUCAAGAUGAACCUGCAGACAUCUAUUUUAGUUUGGAAGUCUGGAAAAGUUCAAGAUUGGCCAUCUGCAGCUGGUGAGAGCCUCAGGCUGCUUCCCCUCAUGGUGGAAGGUGAAGGGGAGCUGGUGUGUGCAGAGAUUACAUGCUUUUCUAGGUCAUCAUUCUAGGCUUUGUUGAAGCAUGCAUUUUUGGCAUGAGGGUGGCAGCCUUUGCACUAUGUGCAUGGCUGAGGAGUUAGGAUCUGGAGGGUGAUGAAAGCAAAGGUGCUGCUGGUUACUCUUGGUUCAUCUAGCAAUAGAUGAUCUGAAUGUUAGAGUUCGCCAAAUAUUGUUCCUGGGCAGUCUUUGCUCUACCAAAUCAACUUUCUCCAUGGGGGAGCUAGAAGUCACCCCACAUUCUCCGCCAUGGCCAGCUCUACAUUCUAAGAGAACCAAUGGCUCUACCCAACAUAUUCUUCUCACCACAGAUGACAAAGACACAAGGAGCCAAGACAGAUCAUUCAAGCAUAUUCAUUGCCUCUAUCUUCAUCCCAUUAAAUAACAUCCCGCCAACCAAAGCAAGUUAUCUGCAUAAGAAUAAAUAUUCCACCUACUCUACUGCAAGGCCCUGCAAGAGUCAUGAGACAAAAGGAUCCUCUGUGGACAGCACCCAAGAUGGAAACAACUGACAGUCUAUGGCCAGGGCUAUACUCUGGUGAAACUGAAAGGUGUCUGCAUGGAAGUGUCUGACUACCACCAUCCACUCAGGCAAAUGCAUUUGUUUCCCUCUAUUCAUUAUUAGAAGAGAGGAGAUUACAUACCAGACAUAUACCAAUAGGUUUUCUCUUCAUAAUACCUACGUCAUCUAGUAGCAUAACAUAAGGCAGAAUCCUUCAAAGAUUUUCACCUGAACUUUUCUUGAGCAUCUCUAGACAGUCACAUGCAGAAUAACAACUGGG
rnacentral:lncRNA from 1 species